rnacentral:other from 1 species
ACAGAGCUGCGACGCCCGUCAGGACCACAAUUCCCCGGGGCCUUAUCGAUCUCAACGGGAGCUGUCCCUGACCCGGUCCCUGGACUGGGAUAUAUGGCGCCCACCUACUUAGGUAGGUUCCCGGGAUCGAGCGUUCAACGGCGAAGCGGCUCUACU